UCCCCUCCUCCCUGGCAGAGCAUGAGACUGAGAAAGUCCUUGGUCAGAGUAAACAUUACUGCAACAACUAAAAACAUCAGUGUUAUCAGUGUUGUUCCCAGG